GUGGGGAAUCUUGCGCAAUGGGCGAAAGCCUGACGCAGCCAUGCCGCGUGAAUGAUGAAGGUCUUAGGAUUGUAAAAUUCUUUCACCGGGGACGAUAAUGACGGUACCCGGAGAAGAAGCUCCGGCUAACUUCGUGCCAGCAGCCGCGGUAAUACGAAGGGGGCUAGCGUUGCUCGGAAUUACUGGGCGUAAAGGGCGCGUAGGCGGACAGCUUAGUCAGAGGUGAAAGCCCAGGGCUCAACCUUGGAAUUGCCUUUGAUACUGGCUGUCUUGAGUUUGGGAGAGUUGAGUGGAACUCCGAGUGUAGAGGUGAAAUUCGUAGAUAUUCGGAAGAACACCAGUGGCGAAGGCGACUCACUGGCCCAAUACUGACGCUGAGGCGCGAAAGCGUGGGGAGCAAACAGGAUUAGAAACCCCUGUAGUCC
rnacentral:rRNA from 1 species